rnacentral:rRNA from 1 species
CCUACGGGGGGCUGCAGUGAGGAAUAUUGGUCAAUGGGCGCGAGCCUGAACCAGCCAAGUAGCGUGAAGGAUGACGGCCCUACGGGUUGUAAACUUCUUUUAUAAAGGAAUAAAGUGAGGCACGUGUGCCUUUUUGUAUGUACUUUAUGAAUAAGGAUCGGCUAACUCCGUGCCAGCAGCCGCGGUAAGACGGAGGAUCCGAGCGUUAUCCGGAUUGAUUGGGUUUAAAGGGAGCGUAGGUGGAUUUUUAAGUCAGUGGUGAAAGUUUGCGGCUCAACCGUAAAAUUGCAGUUGAAACUGGCAGUCUUGAGUACAGUAGAGGUGGGCGGAAUUCGUGGUGUAGCGGUGACAUGCUUAGAUAUCACGAAGAACUCCGAUUGCGAAGGCAGCUCACUGGACUGCAACUGACACUGAGGCUCGAAAGUGUGGGUAUCAAACAGGAUUAGAUACCCGGGUAGUC